rnacentral:lncRNA from 1 species
AAAUUAUUUAUCAAUCUUUCUUGAUUAUACUAUAUGUGUUUCUUCAUCCUUUGCAAAGAUCAAAGAAGCAGCAACAUGGUCAACAAAACAAAAGAACUUAAAACAUAACAUUGGUAAAACUACAAUUCAUCUGUAAAGAGAAAAAGGAAAACCCAUCACUGUGCAUAUUGGGAAAUAUCAUGUGUAAGAUGAAUAGAAGUUCCACUGAAAACAUAACAGAGGUAAAAUUACAAUUCAUCUUUCCACUCACCAUCAAAUCCUUGUUUCACUUGUUCCUGUAACAUAACCACAUAAACUUUUCAAUUAUUCAUCAAUUCUAUAGCAGAUUUGAAAAUCAGGAAAUGCAAGUAACAGAACUAUUCAAAUUAAAAGAAGACAAACCUCCGUAGUUUUGAGUAAAGCCAGAAGUGCAGUGCACAACUGCAAUAACAGCCUUUCCAACCAUAUCUACCAUAUUUUCCCAUAAUUAUAGUAAAAUACAUCGCAUAUUUCUUACAUAUUUGUAAAUACAUUGCAUCUGCCAGCCAAUUAUAAGGGUCUCAAAUUAAUUUAAAUUUGUAGGCAAUUAAGGUCAAAUGAACAGAUACUAAUUUUUUCAUAGGCCCUAUACAUACAUAUAAUUGCUUGUAGAGAAGAUUGUCUUUAAGUUGAUUCUUCUUUUGCUUUUAUUUCUUUGUCAAACAUCACAUACUUUGUUACGAAAAAGCAACUCCUUUUGUAAGUCACUACCUCAAUCCGGCACUAACCAGGACUUCAUUCAUCCAUGAACAAGAUGGGAAGGAAAAUCAUUGGAGUGUCCAUGCUUGGAAAACAUAACAAUGAUAGCAUAUUCAAGGCAUAACAUAAAAGGAUUAUAUAACGAAUUUGUAGUAUAAUUUGCAUUUAGGGUCAUCAAGGCAAAUUAUAUAUAAUGAAUCUGUAGUAUAAUUUGCAUUUAGGGUCAUCGAGGCAAAUUAUACCAUCUCUUUGCAUAGUUAAUAAAGAGUCCAUAUUACAAUUGUAUUUUGGGAUAUCAUGUCCCCCAGCAUAGCAUCCCAAUUUAUAUUAUGAACAAAGAAUUCAUACUACAAUUUGCAUUGAAGACCACCAAUGACUCAAGUAUACAAUCCCAAUUUUGCACUAAAGAUUGAGAAUUUAAAUUGUAAUUGCAUUUCCGGUAAUUUUGCAAAUUAGGGUCGCAUCUGAAUUCAAAACCAUAGGCAACUAGUGUCAAACAUAUCAUCCAGUAUCAUAUUAUGAAUUAAGCAUUCACCUUGCCAGCAACGUUCAAUCUCGCAGUCCAAAACAACCACCAGGGUUUCUAUAGCCACUUAAAUUUAGUUUCAUCAAGAUCCUUGAGUGAAAUCAUAAAAGCAUACCAUCUAUUUUUAAUAUUAUGAAUAAAGAAUUCAUACGACCAAGUAUAUAAUUUCGAUCCAACCAUCCAUCCAUUAUGAAUAAAGAAUUCAUGUUGCAGUUGCAUUUAGGACCAUCAACCAAUUAGGAUUUAACUCAUCCAUACUCCAGAUUGUAGGCAACAUGAGACAAACAUACUAAUCUCUUUUAUUAUGUGUACCAAUUAUAAAGGGUCAGAAUGGGCACUCAAAAAAUAAAUCAUUAUUUAUCAAUCUUUCUUGAUUAUGUUAUUUGUAUGUUUCUUCAUCCGUUGCAAAAAAAUCAACAGAAGCAACAUGGUAAAAAACAAGAACUCAAAUAUUAAAAAUGUAGAGAAAAGAAAGAAAGGUGUGGCACUGAUAAAGGAUUGGAAAGCCAUAGAAUAAAUCAAAUUUCAUGUCUUUCUCACAUUUCAUUAUCAGAUACUAACAAGUUCAAGAAAAUUAAGGAAAAGAAAGAAAUGAAAUUUCAUCACUUUCUCACCUUUCUUUAUCAGCUGAAGUUCAAGAAAACCACAACGUUAUUAGAUUCUAAGAAAUCACCUCAAGAUUUAUAGGAAUUCAUGCAAAAGAUUGAAAAUUAAGAAAGAGAAAAGAGAUAGAUGUGGCAGUGAUAAAAGGGUUGGAAACACCACCUCUCAUUCUCUACUUCGUGUUUCAUUAUUAGCUUAAGCAGCUUAAGUAAUUUCAAGAAAAUUAAUGUGACUAUCACAGAGUAAGAAAUUGCGUCAAGAUUUGAAGAUAGAAAACUGAGAGAAAAGAGAGACAUGUUUCUUGCAGGAGACUGAGAAUUGAGAACUGAGAUAGUAUAUAACACCACCUCUCUCGUUCGCUCUAUCUGUCUCUCUGUCCCUCGCAAGUUCUGUCCCUUCUCUCGCAAGUUCUCUCUCCGUAGUCAUGUUUGUAGAACAACUUAUGUAACAAUGUCGAAUAAAGAUGUCUUUAUAUAACAAUAGAACACCGACCUAUGCACUGUUGUAAAUCAAAUAUGCUUAAUGGGCCUUGUUCUUAAAAAAAAUAAAAUCCUAAUAAUACGUAUUUUAU